rnacentral:tRNA from 1 species
UCUAGGGUAGCCUAGUGGACAUGGUAUCUGCCCGGUAAGCAGAACGUUGUGGGUUCGAUUCCCGCCCCUGGAC